AUGACACAUCAUUAAAAGACGGCUACGCCUAAUGGCCAACUUCACCAUAAUGUGGGCUCUGAUAAGGAUGUUCCAAAACAAUCUAGGAGACCAAAGUUUAGUAUAAAAGAACCAACCAACCUGGUCAGUUGACCAUAAGAAGACCGAAACGAUCAACAAGACUGAGAAGACCAACAAAUACUAAGAAUAGUUCACCAGUGUGGAAUCGAGCAAGAGGCGGAGAGACCCUGUCCUACUCUGGAGCUCAAUGGACCAGAUAUGGCAUCUGACUCUGGGGACAUGGAACGUCGGUACACUGAAGGGCAGGGAAACAGUGCUUGUGAAUGAUGUGGCGCGCUGCAAAUUAGAUCUAGUGGGGGUUACCUCUACGCACAGUCCCCCAUCUUCUGCCAAAACCCUGGAUAGGGGUUGGACUCUAUUCUUCUCCGGAGAUGACGAGGGCGUGAAGCGCCAAGCGGGUGUGGGGAUACUAAUAAAUCCCCAGCUGAGUGCCAGGGUUUUGGGGUUUACCCCGGUGGACAAGAGGGUCGUCUCCCUACGCCUAAUGAUAAAGGGAAGGAUAACUCUGACUGUUAUUUGUGCGUAUGGACCGUGCAAAUCUAGAGACAGUACAGAGUACCCAACCUUCUUGGAGACCCUGCAAGUAGUCCUGGAUGGGGUUCCAGACGAAGACGCCAAAAUUCUGCUGGGAGACUUCAACGCCCACGUGGGCCACGUGAUCGGGAGGCACGGCCCCCUUCAUGAAGACAUAAAUGGUUGUCACUUGUUACAAUUCUGUGAUAGAAAUGCAUUGUCUAUAACAAACACCAUGUUCCACCAUAGGAAUGCUCUAAAGUAUACCUGGUACAAGAAAAGAAGCACACAAAAAUCGAUGAAAGAUUUCGUGAUCGUAUCAUCCAAUCUGAUGCCGUAUGUUUUUGACACUCUGGUUGAGAGACGGACAAAUCUGCAAAUCAACCACCGUCUGGUGGUGAGUCGGAUCAGGCAAUGGACUCUGGACGAACCUGAAAUAUCCCGGAUUGAUCACCCACCGGUGGGGAAUUGGAUCAGGGAAUGGGGGAUUUUUGACGAACCUGACUUUGCAGAUGACCUUGCUGCCCUUCUCCAAGGCUAAAGAUUAUAAAAGCAUUUUAAAGAAGCAGAGAGACGAUGAAGGAAAAGUAAACAGUCAUACUUUUCUUCUGACAAAUGUACUUAUUGUACGUCACUUUGAAAAAAAGAGUCUGCUAAAUGCCCUCAAUGUUAAUGUAAAUUAAUGUAACCAAAUUUGGUUACUUCUAUCAAUAAUACAACUUUUAAUUUUGAAUACGUUUUGUAGCCUACAUAUCCUUUACCAUAAAUCAGAUACAUUUUUAUAGUUUUCAUGUUUUACCCAAGCACCAUUCUGUGAAGCACAUUCUCUCCAACAAAAUGAACCAUUGUAAACGUACAAAAAUACAAGAAUUAAGAUAAAUGAAUAAAACCAUUGAAAUAUUG